CGAUUUCGGUACUGCCACAGCCGACGAGCCCUAAUUCUGUCGGUCGUUGCCUCAUCAAGCGAGUCGUCUACUUCUCGCCACGAUAACCUUCUCCUCCCCUGUGAAGACAUCGACCUCACUGCUAAGGUUCGUAUUUGUUCAUGAUGUCUGCAUUCGUUUUUUUCCUGUAGUCUGCUUUCAUUCAUUUUCCUGCUGUUGGUUUUAUUUCUUUUGAUGUGGUCUUCCUUCUUUUCCCUAGUUUAUGGUUCCUGUUAGCAUAUAACACAACUGUUAAACCAGGUAGCUUAUCAAUUGCUGCAUAACUCACAACACAAAAUAGAAACAAUUGUAAUGAAUGUUGUUACAAUUCUUUGUUAUUGGAUUAUAUUUGAUUUCUGUUUUGUUAAAGCUGUUAAAUAGCAACCAAUGGCUAUGUUCAAUUUUGAUUUAUGCAUUAUAUUUUAUCUUUAAUUUCUGUUUUGUUCAAUUUGCUAGAUGGAUGUUGUUACAAUUCUUUGUUAUUGGGCGGGAGAACUUGUGAUGGUCGGAUAGUAUGAGUUAUAGUAAAGCUUAAAAAAAGCAAUCAAUGUUAACAGUAGAAUACAGUUCUUUGUAAUUCUUUGUAAGAAGUCAUUGUUGG
rnacentral:lncRNA from 1 species